rnacentral:tRNA from 9 species
GGCGGAGUGGAGCAGUCUGGCCAGCUCGCGAGGCUCAUAACCUUGAGGUCGCAUGUUCAAAUCAUGCCUCCGCCC